CGGGAUAGUGGCGGACGGGUGAGUAACGCGUGGGAAUCUGCCCUCAGGAGGGGGAUAACGGCUGGAAACGGCCGCUAAUACCCCAUAUGCCGAGAGGUGAAAUGAAUUUCGCCUGAGGAUGAGCCCGCGUCUGAUUAGCUAGUUGGUGGGGUAAAGGCCUACCAAGGCAACGAUCAGUAGCUGGUCUGAGAGGAUGAUCAGCCACACUGGGACUGAGACACGGCCCAGACUCCUACGGGAGGCAGCAGUGGGGAAUUUUCCGCAAUGGGCGAAAGCCUGACGGAGCAACGCCGCGUGAGGGAUGCAGGCCUCUGGGCUGUAAACCUCUUUUCUCAAGGAAGAAGACCUGACGGUACUUGAGGAAUAAGCCACGGCUAAUUCCGUGCCAGCAGCCGCGGUAAUACGGGAGUGGCAAGCGUUAUCCGGAAUUAUUGGGCGUAAAGCGUCCGCAGGCGGCCUUGUAAGUCUGUUGUUAAAGCGUGGAGUUCAACUCCAUUUAAGCAAUGGAAACUACAAGGCUGGAGUGUGGCAGGGGCAGAGGGAAUUCCCGGUGUAGCGGUGAAAUGCGUAGAUAUCGGGAAGAACACCAGUGGCGAAGGCGCUCUGCUGGGCCAUAACUGACGCUCAUGGACGAAAGCCAGGGGAGCGAAAGGGAUUAGAUACCCCUGUAGUCCUGGCCGUAAACGAUGAACACUAGGUGUCGGGGGAAUCGACCCCCUCGGUGUCGUAGCCAACGCGUUAAGUGUUCCGCCUGGGGAGUACGCACGCAAGUGUGAAACUCAAAGGAAUUGACGGGGGCCCGCACAAGCGGUGGAGUAUGUGGUUUAAUUCGAUGCAACGCGAAGAACCUUACCAGGGUUUGACAUCCUGCGAACCCCUGAGAAAUCGGGGGGUGCCUUCGGGAGCGCAGAGACAGGUGGUGCAUGGCUGUCGUCAGCUCGUGUCGUGAGAUGUUGGGUUAAGUCCCGCAACGAGCGCAACCCACGUCUUUAGUUGCCAGCAUUCAGUUGGGCACUCUAGAGAGACCGCCGGUGAUAAACCGGAGGAAGGUGUGGAUGACGUCAAGUCAUCAUGCCCCUUACAUCCUGGGCUACACACGUACUACAAUGCUACGGACAAAGGGCAGCAAGCUCGCGAGAGUUAGCAAAUCCCAUAAACCGUGGCUCAGUUCAGAUCGUAGGCUGCAACUCGCCUACGUGAAGGAGGAAUCGCUAGUAAUCGCAGGUCAGCAUACUGCGGUGAAUACGUUCCCGGGCCUUGUACACACCGCCCGUCACACCAUGGAAG
rnacentral:rRNA from 1 species